UACCAGACUCCUACGGGAGGCAGCAGUGGGGAAUAUUGCACAAUGGGGGAAACCCUGAUGCAGCGACGCCGCGUGAGUGAAGAAGUAUCUCGGUACGUGAAGCUCUAUCAGCAGGGAAGAAAAUGACGGUACCUGACUAAGAAGCCCCGGCUAACUACGUGCCAGCAGCCGCGGUAAUACGUAGGGGGCAAGCGUUAUCCGGAUUUACUGGGUGUAAAGGGAGCGUAGACGGCGAUACAAGUCUGAAGUGAAAGCCCGGGGCUCAACCCCGGGACUGCUUUGGAAACUGUGUUGCUGGAGUGCUGGAGAGGCAAGCGGAAUUCCUAGUGUAGCGGUGAAAUGCGUAGAUAUUAGGAGGAACACCAGUGGCGAAGGCGGCUUACUGGACUGUAACUGACGUUGAGGCUCGAAAGCGUGGGGAGCAAACAGGAUUAGAUACCCCAGUAAA
rnacentral:rRNA from 1 species